GCAGACAAAUCAACUUCCGGUGAGACCGAGACCGAGGAGCGAGGAAAUGAAAAAUAAGAGAAGUGAAACGCAGCCAGGGGCUGAUGGAGAACAGAGUGGCUGAUGGGUAAUGUAGUGCUGAGAGAGAACAGAGGGGCUGAUGGGUAAUGUAGUGCUGAGAGAGAACAGAGGGGCUGAUGGGUAAUGUAGUGCUGAGAGAGAACCGAGGGGCUGAUGGAGAACAGAGUGGCUGAUGGGUAAUGUAGUGCUGAGAGAGAACAGAGGGGCUGAUGGAGAACAGAGUGGCUGAUGGGUAAUGUAGUGCUGAGAGAGAACAGAGGGGCUGAUGGGUAAUGUAGUGCUGAGAGAGAACAGAGGGGCUGAUGGAGAACAGAGUGGCUGAUGGGUAAUGUAGUGCUGAGAGAGAACAGAGGGGCUGAUGGGUAAUGUAGUGCUGAGAGAGAAUAGAGGGGCUGAUGGGUAGUGUAGUGCUGAGAGAGAACAGAGGGGCUGAUGGGUAAUGUAGUGCUGAGAGAGAACAGAGGGGCUGAUGGGUAGUGUAGUGCUGAGAGCGAACAGAGGGGCUGAUGGGUAGUGUAGUGCUGAGAGAGAACAGAGGGGCUGAUGGGUAAUGUAGUGCUGAGAGAGAACAGAGGGGCUGAUGGAGAACAGAGUGGCUGAUGGGUAAUGUAGUGCUGAGAGAGAACAGAGGGGCUGAUGGGUAGUGUAGUGCUGAGAGAGAACAGAGGGGCUGAUGGGUAGUGUAGUGCUGAGAGAGAACAGAGGGGCUGAUGGAGAACAGAGUGGCUGAUGGGUAAUGUAGUGCUGAGAGAGAACAGAGGGGCUGAUGGAGAACAGAGUGGCUGAUGGGUAAUGUAGUGCUGAGAGAGAACAGAGGGGCUGAUGGAGAACAGAGUGGCUGAUGGGUAAUGUAGUGCUGAGAGAGAACAGAGGGGCUGAUGGGUAAUGUAGUGCUGAGAGAGAACAGAGGGGCUGAUGGAGAACAGAGUGGCUGAUGGGUAAUGUAGUGCUGAGAGAGAACAGAGGGGCUGAUGGGUAAUGUAGUGCUGAGAGAGAACAGAGGGGCUGAUGGAGAACAGAGUGGCUGAUGGGUAAUGUAGUGCUGAGAGAGAACAGAGGGGCUGAUGGAGAACAGAGUGGCUGAUGGGUAAUGUAGUGCUGAGAGAGAACAGAGGGGCUGAUGGAGAACAGAGUGGCUGAUGGGUAAUGUAGUGCUGAGAGAGAACAGAGGGGCUGAUGGGUAGUGUAGUGCUGAGAGAGAACAGAGGGGCUGAUGGGUAGUGUAGUGCUGAGAGAGAACAGAGGGGCUGAUGGGUAGUGUAGUGCUGAGAGAGAACAGAGGGGCUGAUGGGUAGUGUAGUGCUGAGAGAACAGAGUGGCUGAUGGGUAAUGUAGUGCUGAGAGAGAACAGAGGGGCUGAUGGGUAGUGUAGUGCUGAGAGAACAGAGUGGCUGAUGGGUAAUGUAGUGCUGAGAGAGAACCGAUUGGCUGAUGGGUAAUGUAGUGCUGAGAGAGAACAGAGUGGCUGAUGGGUAAUGUAGUGCUGAGAGAGAACCGAUUGGCUGAUGGGUAAUGUAGUGCUGAGAGAGAACAGAGGGGCUGAUGGAGAACAGUGGCUGAUGGGUAGUGUAGUGCUGAGAGAACAGAGUGGCUGAUGGGUAGUGUA